GGGGCAAGAGCCAGGCCUCGAUG
rnacentral:siRNA from 1 species